UUUCUGCAAUGUCUCCGUAAUAUUGCACUGUAACAUUGCAACGUUGCUGCAAUGUUGCUGGAAUUUUCUGUGCUGUAUGGGUACUUGCUGAGAUAUAGUGCCAGCCUUAAAAAUUAAUUGCCGCAUAUCAUGUACAUAUAUGGAGGGAUUUAUGACUUUGGAAUUUGCGCGAUAAUACCACAGUAUAAUCAGUAUAUUCGCUCCCCAAAAAUGUGCGUAAUUGCGCAAAUCCUAUUGGGAAGCUUUUGUUUUCAGUUGGCUCUAAAGAUGCAAGAGGACACAGGAACGUCGUACACUGUUAACUUGAGUAUUUUUACAAGCAUCUGUGAAAAAUGGUAAAAAUAAAGCAAAAAUGUAAAGUGCAAUAUAAAUCAAUGCAAUAUAUAUAAAAUCAUAAAUUCAAAGUUCAAUUUUUUAAAUUAACUAGAAAAAAGAAAAAAAUUGUACUUAUUCCUUGUAUUGUGUCAGCACCUUUAUAGAACACUUUUUCUAUUCGGGUCUGAAUUUUAUAGUCACGUGAUCUCAACGCGAGGACAAAAAUGCCGACUGAGCGGAUAUGCUGGCUAUACUGUGAUAAAACUGCGCAUUGCAUACUCACACAUGUACAGUGUGUUAACGGGCCCGGUUUUUUGCGCAUGCACGACUACAGUCAGCGCUGUAAACGAUGUACCGAGAAAUGGGCGCGUGGCGGGCUCGUCAUACGAUUAGUAUAGGUUAAAGUAAAUAUACAUCGGUUUGUUCACGUUGCUUGCACUCAAUAUCUUUUUUGUCGCACACAAUAUUUUUGUUGUUUCUUUCUCCUAUAUAUCUUUCCUAUAUAUCCCUAUUAUUUACUUGAAUAUAUAUUCAUUUUAUUUUAAGUGCAAGAAUUUUUCAAGAUUUCAAGCAACGCGAACAAAACUAUUUAUUUUAAUACAGAUUUAUAAAAUUCUAAAACAAAAGAAGCAAUUAAAAAACGUCAGAUUAGAGAAUUCCAAAAUUUGUAUGGGCUAUCAAAGAUCUCCUCCUCCACUAAGAUAUACUUUACUGAAGCCUCAUAUUUGAUCGACUCGCAUGCGCGAAAAACCGGACCCUAACAACACUGCAAACACGCCCUUGCUUAUAUAAGAUAAGUUUGCCUGCUCACGGUAGAAGGUGAUGAACCACUUGAGUGAAUUCAUCGAUGAAUAAGAUGUAAUUUAAGAAACGCCUUAACAACUUUAAGAAAAAAACAACAAUAUCAAUGAUAAGGAGAAAUGGUGUAAUUCAUCCAUCAUCAAACACCAGGACGAUUUUUUUUCAAACGUGGAUCGAGGGCUUUAUAGCAGCUAUAUAUCGAAAUUUUGUUUUGAAAAAAUUCAUAAAUACUGUCAAAAUAUAAAUAAAUACAUCUAUAGAAAGUUUUUUGUAAUAAUAUAAUAAGAUUUUUGAUAGGUAUAUUAAUGAAAUAUUUAGUAAUUCCAAAAGUAAAGAAGUUUAUGAUAAGUUUAUAAAGAUAUUAGAAGAUAUAGUCAAAUAAAUGCCUAAUAGAUCUCUUUCAUAUUUUUUAAAAUCAUUUGUAGUAUUAAGUAACAAAAUAUAUGUAAGAAAUUACUGAAAAGAUAUAUCAAUAAGAUAACGAUAAUCAAAUAUGUGCAAUUAAAAAUCUCAAGUUUAUAACAUUUUUAAUAGUUGAUGCAUUUUCAGCACUUGAUUGAGAUUUUUUUAACUGAAAUUUAAUUAAUAUAUAUAAAUGGAGUUACCAAAUGUAACAACAAUUACUAGGAACUUAGAUAGUUUUCCAAACACUAAAGCUUAUUUAGAUAAUCUAACUAGAAACUCUUGUGUUAUAACUAUUAAGGUCCAUAAGGGAUAUGAGUAUAGUAUACAUAUAGUUAAAAAUAAUUUAUAUACAACUUAUGGAUCUUUUGUAGAUUAUUUUAUAAGAAAACAUAUAUCUUAUUAUAAGAAGAUUGAUAUAAUAGAUCAUAGAGCAGAAUGGGUUAUAAACGAAAGCGAUAUAAAACCCAAAAAUAUAGAAAAAUGUUAUAAUGUUUUUAAGAAUUAUAAUCUAAGUGCUAUGGAUCAUAUAAAAGAUAUACAGACAGUUUCUUAUUGUAAUGCCAUAUAUUUUCAGGAACGUUUUCCAGAAUAUAAUUUUGAUGUGAAUAAAGAGAAUAUGUUAGAUAUAGUAAGCUAUAUUAAUAGUUUAUCUUAUGUACAUUAUGAAUUGAAUCCUAUAGUUGACAGUGAUUAUUUUAAUGGUGAUGCUGAUCUAAUACUUGACAAUAAUGUAAUUUUGGAUUUUAAAGUUUCAAAGCAUAAGUCACUUCACUAUCGAAGCAAAUAUAUCUCUAAGACAUCAUUCUACCAGUUGAUUUUAUAUAGUUUUGGAAAUUAUAAGAAAUCAAAUACUAAAGUUAAAAUUAAUAAGUUUCUCAUCUAUAAUCCGUUACUUGGAUACGAAUACAGUCUAUCAGUAAAUGAGAUAAACUAUGAAGAAUUUGAAUGUGCUUUGAAACUCGAUAUUCAAGACAAGGUUCUAAAAAUAAGUUCUUUAUCUAUAUAAUAAUCAUUAAGAUGUUGAACUUGUAAAUAUAUGGCAGUACUCGUAUAUUUCAUUUUUCUUUAAUUUUGGAAUAAAGGAUUUAGAAUUUGUUUAUGUGAUCAGUAAGAACAAAAAUAAUAAGGUAGUCAAAUCUUUUGUGCUCUAAGUCAAGAAUAUAUAACUUCUCUUAAAAUAUUAAUAUUACCAGCGUUAGAACUCAGAGCAGCCUUAUUUAAUCAUAGUUUAUCUCCGUCGUCAAGCGAGUUCUAAAAAUUGAAAUCGAAUGUAUUCAUUUAUGGAGUAACUCGACAAUAACGUUAUGUUGGAUCAAGACAUCACUCGACUGAAAUCUUCAAACUUUUAUGGCAAACAAAACAGCCGAGAUACAAGAAUUGACAAACACAUCAUGUUGGUGACACGUACCCUCAAAAGAGAAUUCUGCAGACGCUCUAGCUAAAGGAAUUUUAUUGGAGAGACUCUUGCCAGAGGACAUCUGAUAGAAUGGCCCUGCAUGGCUCGUUUCGUGAAACAGUUGACUAAACUAGAAAAUGUCAAUUACAUCAGCGAUUCCAGAGCAACAAAUUUUAAUCACGACAGAAGCAUUCAAACAAUCUAAAGUCAAAGAUUCGAACUUUCAACAGAUUAAUUUUACAAGAAGAUUCUCAUCGAUUUUGAAGUUACGAAAGGUCAUUGCCUACUGUUUUCGUUUUGCAGACAACAAAAAAUCUGGGAAAACCGGACCUAUCAGUAGGAGCACUCGACAGUUUUGAAUAAAAUUAUUAAAUAACACAAGAAGAAGCCUUUACGAAAAAGAUUUCAAAUUUA